rnacentral:rRNA from 1 species
GUUCCUACGGGAGGCAGCAGAGGGGGAUAUUGCACAAUGGGGGAAACCCUGAUGCAGCGACGCCGCGUGUGGGAAGACGGUCCUCUGGAUUGUAAACCACUGUCCCCAGGGACGAAGAUGACGGUACCUGGGGAGGAAGCUCCGGCUAACUACGUGCCAGCAGCCGCGGUAAUACGUAGGGGGCGAGCGUUAAUCGGAAUUACUGGGCGUAAAGGGUGCGCAGGCGGUUGAGUAAGACAGAUGUGAAAUCCCCGAGCUUAACUCGGGAAUGGCAUGUGUGACUGCUC